AGUCACUGGAGGCGCUGAUGAUGUCAUCACCAGGGGCAAACACAUCCACGCAGCGGCCCAGGUUGGUACCUGUGGUUCCUGAACUAAGCAGCUGGUCAGCAGCAUUGGUAGCUCCUACUGUGAUCACCUGCACAUGCAGGGAUGUACAAGGUCCAAGGUGAAACAAGUGAUCUGGCUACUGACUGUGGAAAAACCUGGCAAGCAACUAGAACAUCGACUUCGCCCCAGACCUUCUCACCCAUCAUCAGUGCCUGACCUCACUAAUGCUCCUGUGUCUGAGUUAACACAAAUCCCCACAGCCAGGCUCCAAAAUCUAGUGGAAAACCUUCCCAGAAGAGUGGAGCUUAUUAUAACUGCAAAGGGGGAGUAAACGUGGAAUGGGAUGUUCAACAAGGACAUAUGGGUGUAAUGGUCAUGUGUCCACAUACUUUUGGCCAUAUAGAGUAUGAAUCUGUGCCCCUCUAUGAGUGUGAUGAGUGUAAUACCUCUGGUUCCGAGGCUGUGCUCCAGACACAGUGCCUCUGCCCUGACAGUUGAGCACCCGCACAGUGUUCACACCAACCCCACGUGCCACGCCAGAGUCUCGCCCACUUAACACCCCAGCUAUGUGUGUUCCAUGACUGUCACACUGACUGGCCUGCCACAGAUGCAAAAACAAUAGAUGGAUAUCCAGAUGCUACUUUUUUCAUUUUGCACUUAGCAAUCUCUCUUGUAUGAGUCUAAGAUUCUUACUAUCUGCAGUCUCAUGCUUCGUCUGCAUGAUGCGCUCCAAGUUCCAUGGGAUGCCCUGGGCAAAAAUGGACGAGUCCUCUUCAAUGUACGCAACAUGGGGCAGCUUCAGAGCCUGUGAGCGGCACACAGAGUGAAAUGAGACGAGA